AGUCGUAACAAGGUAUCCGUAGGUGAACCUGCGGAUGGAUCAUUAACAAAGGUGAUUUUGAAGUUGUGUGAACAGUUGGAGGUGGUGGUGGUGGUGGUGGUAUUGGGUGGUACUGGGUGGUAUUGGGUGGUAUUGGGUGGUAUUGAGUGGUGUAACCUUGGUCUAACCUUGGUCAACCUCACUCAACCUCACUCAACCUCACUCUCCCACUCUCCCAACCUCCACCACUCCGUCCCUAUAAUGUAUACAAACUGAUGUCUGCUAGUUUCAAACUAAAACAACUUUUAGCAACGGAUCUCUUGGCUCUC
rnacentral:misc_RNA from 1 species